rnacentral:rRNA from 1 species
AUUGAACGCUGGCGGCAGGCCUAACACAUGCAAGUCGAGCGGAUGAAGGGAGCUUGCUCCUGGCUUCAGCGGCGGACGGGUGAGUAAUGCCUAGGAAUCUGCCUGGUAGUGGGGGAUAACGUCCGGAAACGGGCGCUAAUACCGCAUACGUCCUGAGGGAGAAAGUGGGGGAUCUUCGUACCUCACGCUAUCAGAUGAGCCUAGGUCGGAUUAGCUAGUUGGUGGGGUAAAGGCCUACCAAGGCGACGUUCCGUAACUGGUCUGAGAGGAUGAUCAGUCACACUGGAACUGAGACACGGUCCAGACUCCUGCGGGAGGCAGCAGUGGGGAAUCUUGGACAAUGGGCGAAAGCCUGAUCCAGCCCUGUCGCGUGUGUGCAGAAGGUCUUCGGAUUGUAAAGCACUGUAAGUUGGGAGGAAGGGCAGUAAGUUAAUACCUGGCUGUUUUGACGUUACCAAAAGAAUAAGCACCGGCUAACUUCGUG